rnacentral:rRNA from 1 species
UACGGGGGGGGCAAGCGUUGUUCGGAAUUACUGGGCGUAAAGGGCUCGUAGGCGGCCAACUAAGUCGGAUGUGAAAUCCCCAGGCUUAACCUGGGAACUGCGUCCGAUACUGGAUGGCUUGAAUCCGGGAGAGGGAUGCAGAAUUCCAGGUGUAGCGGUGAAAUGCGUAGAUAUCUGGAGGAAUACCGGUGGCGAAGGCGGCAUCCUGGACCGGCAUUGACGCUGAGGAGCGAAAGCCAGGGGAGCAAACGGG